UUGGUUAUAAAGUAAUCAUGAGUUGAAAUGUCAUGUGAGUGGGGCGGUGGCGCGAGGGCCGGCGUGGACUGCCAGGGGUCGCCACAUGCCCGGCGCCCCGCAGCACCGCAGCACCGCCGCCUGGCCGCCCUGCAGCUCGGACCCCUGCCCUCAGGAGGUCACGCGCUGCCCCUCAGCACAGCGGUGCCCCCGUAGCCAGGCCGACACGCGGCCUUCGUGGGGCAGGCUGCGAGGCCCCUCGGGGAGCACCAGCUGUGGUGGGCACAGGUUGCCCGUGACGUCACUGCCUUCAGGCGGCCGCUAGGUGUGGGCAGCUGCUCGGGCCGCUACACCUGCCGCUCGAGACAACAGGUGUGCUGCGGGGCAGGCCCCUCGUGGCCCAGCUUAUAAGGUGUUCAGCGUCAAGUGUAUCGUUCUUCCUAUGGGUGAGUUGUGUGUAUGAGAGAGAGAGAGAGAGAGAGAGAGAGAGAGAGAGAGAGAGAGAGAGAGAGAGAGUGUGUGUGUGUGUGUGUGUGUGUGUGUGUAGGCCAGGGGGGUGGGGGCGUGGAGACGUGUGGCAACCCAGGGCGGGGCCGCAGGUGAGCGUGUCCCGCGGCUGGCCGGCUCACUCCGCCGCGGACCACUCUAGCGGUUGCCGCCGCGCCGCUCACCGCCACCGUCCUCCCGGGCAGUGCAAAGACCCCGCCCGCGUCUCCACACCGCCCCCACACGCCCACGCCGCCGUCAUCAGUGGCCGCCCACGGUCCUCGAGGGAGCCAGCCAAGGCCCUGCAGGUGCAGUCCUCCACACUUCUACCACCACAUCAGCACUACCGCAGUCAGUCUGCACCACAAACUGCACCACUUCCCUUCACCACUAGCCCCUCGCACCACCACCCUCACCAUCUCCUGAAACCCUCUAGUUUAGUCGGGACGGAAGAUUGAGAGCACCGGCCAGGCAGACCUCGCGUCGCCCAGCCGUCCCGACGCCCCCCGCCGCGCCGUGGUGUCGCGGUGCCCCGCUGUCCUCGCCUCUCUUGGAGGUCCACAGACUGAACCCGUCUGGCCCCCGCGGCAACCCUUCACUUGAUUGGUCGUACCCACGCCUGACGCGGACUUACUGUUUCAGUCCCAAAAUUUAAUCCGUUCAGUGUGCAUUGCGGCGAGACCUCAGGCCCACGGGUAAAUAUUUGUAGACUGUCUGUUUACAGGGAGUGUAGUGGCAAGGGUGAGGGCCAGGCGGGACGGGGCGGGGCGGGGUGUCUGCCGUGGUGGCGCCGCCCGUCCGCCCUCCUGGGCCAGCAGCCGCCUCACCAGCGGCUCUGCGGCACGAUAUCGCGUGCUCCGCCGACACCUGCUCGAGUUUUGUGACAGUAAGGAUUGAUUUAUGGAUCCCUGGCCAGCCGAGGCGGAGCCGGGCGGCGAGGCAGGCGGGGAGGGGGCCAGCUCGGUCCUUUCGGACAAACUUCAUGCGAUUGGCACCUUCCGCGGCCCUGACAUGCACUCGGUCACUGGGGGCGGCGGGAGUCGGGGGCGCACAAACACGGUCGCCGCGUGACCCAGUUCCGGAAAGUUGAGUGAGGCUAACGCCAUCCUGCGCCACGUGUUGUGGAGGCACCCUGCCGAGGGGCAGCCCCUGCGUUCUGCACCACCACCCCGCCCCUCGCCAGGCGCCCCAUGCCUCAAGAAGUCCCUUGGGGCGCAGGACUUGGUCUUCUGCCCCCGAGACCCCCAGCGGCCAGCAGGUGUGCGGGUGUAGCGAAGGUAGGUAGUGCCGGCACACCUUGUAGGGCGGGGCGCUGACCUGCAUGCUCUCUCUCUCUCUCUCUCUCUCUCUCUCUCUCUCUCUCAUGAAAAUUAACUGUGAAUUUCAUAACCAUAAGUAGUUUACGAACAAAUCACUCAUCACAAUUGCAAGUUGAGACACUAAAUUAUGUGCAUGUACAAUAUAGUCUGUGUGUGCGUGUGUGUGUGUGUGUUUAAUUAUGAUUAAAUUAUAGUUCGUGGUAGCCAUGCACGCAAAUUGGAUCAAGCUUUUGUGAAAUGAAUGGAGGGACUUUUCAUCGGAUAGAGGGCAGAGGGUCGGGCAAAAAGAGGAGUUAGGCUUCAAACUCCCAUACAACCUGUACAGUGUACACCAUCGGGGGAAGGGGGGAGUUCAAAGUCAACUAUUUAUUCACAUGUACAGAGAGUAAAAUAAUACAAAAUCAGAGACCAUUAUUCUGGCAUCAAUAUAUACAUACAUACAAAUGCGAUCUAUAGAACACUGAUUUUGCUUGAUAGGUUCUGCAUAAAUACUGCAUGAAUGACGCCAUGUAAUGUUGGUGUGUGUGUGUGUGUGUGUGUGUGUGUGAUGGUGGUAGCGACAGAAAGGACAGAGGGCGAGAGAGGCUGUUAGUGUGUUUGUUCGUUCGUUAGGUCAUUAGAGGCAGGUGUGUGGGUCGUUAGUGGCAGAUGUAUAAGUGGUUAGUGGCAGGUGUGUGGGUCGUUAGUGGCAGAUGUGUAAGUGGUCAGUGGCAGGUGUGUGGGUCGUUAGUGGCAGAUGUGUAAGUGGUCAGUGGCAGGUGUGUGGGUCGUUAGUGGCUGGUGUGUGGGUCGUUAGAUUGGUGUAAGUUUGUAAGUCGUUGGUGCCACAUUUACCAGGUAGUCUAUAGGCAGGUGUGCAGGUCAGUAAGUGCCAGAUGUGUAAGUGUGUCGGACCAUCAUUGUCAGGUGUGUAGGUGUGCGGGUCAGAAGGUGUCAGGUGUCUAUAGGUGUGUAGUGCAAGCAGCGUCGCCAUCAAUACCAGUUGCAGAGGUCAUUAGGAGUAGCAAUAUGCCCCCACCCCCCUCCUUUAGUUCAGAGAGAGAGAGAGAGAGAGAGAGAGAGAGAGAGAGAGAGAGAGAGGGGGGGGGAAGAAAAAGACUUGCAGUAAAAUCUUAUAUUGUCACAGCAUCUAGUUUUUAAGGUUUUCAUUUAGGGGAAAGAUUAAAGAAGAGAGAGAGAGAGAGAGAGAGAGAGAGAGAGAGAGAGAGAGAGAGAGAGAGAGAGAGAGAGAGAGAGAGAGAGAAGAAAAAGACUUACAGUAAAAUCUUAUAUUGUCACAGCAUCUAGUUUUUAAGGUUUUCAUUUAGGGCAAAGUUAAAGAAGAGAGAGAGAGAGAGAGAGAGAGAGAGAGAGAGAGAGAGAGAGAGAGAGAGAGAGAGAGAGAGAGAGAGAGAGAGAGAGAGAGAGAGAGAGAGAGAGAGAGAGAGAGAGAGGGAAGGAAAAGACUUACAGUAAAAUCAUAAAUUGUCACGGCAUCUAGUUUUAAGAUUUUCAUAUUGGACAAAAAUCAAAAACAACAUCACUUUUCCCCUUCGCUCCUCUAUAAAGUACAAACGUAAUGGGCAGCAGUUUCCACGCGGCGGUCGGCAGCAGCUCCAAGGAGGGACGUGACAUUCUGCCUGAGCGCCGCAUGAACUGCCCGACGCCUCGAGUUCAUAAGAAAGUACCGAGUCAGGGGUAAAGACAAACUACUAGACUAAAACAGUGAAUUUGCACCCCGAAUAUCGUGUUUAAGAGGCGUGUUUUCAUUUAGGUCUCACGAAGCGGGAAAGAACUGCUAGGAAGAGAGAAUAGAAUAAAGUUAUCAGCUACAGAAUUCUCUUUUUUUCUAUACGUCGGACGUGGGCGUGGAGUAUACGAGGAAAGGGAGGGGGGCGUCAUCCAUGGACAAACAGGGAACGAAGAGGAGGCGCAGCUAGGAAAAUAAAAUAAAAAGCUCCAGCACCAGCGGGCGGCGAGCAAGAGGCAGGGGACGAGAGUGGACGCCAGAAAAAAAAAUCUAUCAGCCACAUAUUUUCUUUUUAAGUUAGGCGUGUGCGUGAGAGGAUUAAGGCGAACGACAGCGUCAAAAUUUUUAACUCCUUCCAUCCCGCGACGCACCCGUGGCCACCGUGGCUCCAGCCUCGCCUUUACCUAACCGUCGAGCAGAAGGCAGCGACAGGUCACUGGACACCUGUAGGGGCGGGGGGCUGAGGGGCCGGGGAGCAGGAGGAGGCUUGAGAGGCGGGGACAGCCAGGCGGCGGCACCGGGCAGGGCUAGCUCGCAUGUUGAAUCACCAAGCUUCGGCUCCAAGGCGCUGGCUGACCGACCCACAAGUUAUCCAAACAUAAAUAAAUAAAAUGUUGAAUAAAUAAAUAAAAAUGAAUAAUGUGCGCCACUCCCUCGAUGGCUGUUACCAACUCCCUCAGAAAAGCUAUUUAGCUCCCUAAACAGGCAGCCACUGUUGCCACUGACAAACUGAAACUUGUUUUGCGCCCUUUUAUUAGCUACUAAUGUGUGAAAGGCCGCCGUCGUCAGCAGCCCUUCUGCCGAGCGAUCAUUGCAGUGCGCUCUUUGCUGCCGCUCAGAAACAGCAGUGUACCCUCAUUGUAACCAGGAGCUGAAGCCGUAACGGUUUGGGUGGCUACACUUGUUGGUCGGUCCUAUAAUAAAUAAUAUAUAGUAUACGUAUGUAUGAGAGAGAGAGAGAGAGAGAGAGAGAGAGAGAGAGAGAGAGAGAGAGAGAGAGAGAGAGAGAGA